UGAGCAGAGAGGGUCACAGUUGAUAUGAAGACAGUUGGAGAGAAGACAGGUUAAGGGAUAGACGCUGGGAUCAUGUACAGAAUAGGGGUGUUGGUUUGGGAAAGAGAAAAGCCCUGUAUCUGCCAGACUUGGGCCAAGAGGAAGCUGAAGGGGCACCCCAAGGGGCCGCAGAGAAUAGCACGAUGCCGCAGAGUCACUGAAGCCCUGUCUGGGAAGGGAAGGGUUCGAGUAGAGAGGAGUCAUCGUGGCUUUGUGCACCUGCUGAAUGCCAGGAUCCCGGAACGGAAAUGAUGUCAACAGGCUUGGGAGCAGGCAUCUGGACGCACCUUGACCCACCUCGCCACCUCGCCAGCUCAGUUAUUUUCUGGAACCAGCAAACAUUAGAUUUGAAUAUAUCACUAACCUAUCAAGAAAUGUGCUUCUGAACACAGUUUGGAUAAGUGCAGUUUCUUGAUUGUCCCAGGCUUCCUGGGGAUGAAAAGAUGACGUGCCAGGUGGGCCUCAGUAGUGAUGAGACUGAAGGAACGACCAUCAAGAUGUAAGGACAAGGCACACAGCUCUUUGGGUUGGCCCUCUCAAGCUCAGGACCAAUUCCUGACGUGAUAAGGUUUGUUCCUGCACGAUCUGUAGCCUGCCUGGUCUAUGAGUAGAGCCUCCUGCCAUGAAAUAAAAGCAGAGAGAGGCCGUGGGACCCCAGCAGCAGCUUGACUAAAGCAAAAUGAGGAAACCUUGGGGCUGACGACUCCUUUCCUUUCAUUAUUUCUAGAUAAUAUCAGAUUUUUGGCCUCGAGGGAGCACACACAGAAUGAGGCCUGGUGACCUCUGAGCAGGCAAGUCAGGGAUAGUAGAUGAAUCCUGGAGCUGGUUUGCUGAUAGCACAAAUCAGCCACCGAUGCUGUUGAUCUUGUCUGCUGGUGAGAGAGGGUAGAGGUGAGAAGGAGCUGACGGUGUCCCAGAGGCGCCAUAUUGGGAGCAGUGAACAGGCCAGAGCUGAACCUGGGGACAUCUGGACCUGUGGGAAUCAGAGCAGUGACGAGUUUCUGGUGAGCAGCAAAGAUUAAUGCCUGGAAUCCAUUGCCAUGGCAUAUCCCUGCACGUCUACCUGAACAAGAGUGCCCGUAUUGACGUCUUUAGGCUCAGCAUUCACACUUCAUCUGUGUGAGCCAGCUAGAGAGCUGGAUGAAGCCAGGGUGCCUGGGUUCCCGCUGCAGGGUCCACAAGUGGGCUUCAAAUCCGGCGUUCCCGGAGAGACAUUUCUGUGGCCUUGCCACUUACCAGCUGUGCCAUCUUGGAAGCACUGUCUAAAUCUCUGUACCCUAGUCCUCUUUUCUGUCAUGUGGUGAUAAUGGUCCCAACUGGAUACCUGGGAGGUUUAAAUGAGGUCAAGAGUAGGAGCGGUUCAUUUGAACCAGGUUUCUUUUAGUUAUGGAGGUUCUUUCCAAGUUGGACUACUUGGGAAAAAAAAUACCUGACCUUGAUAGCUGAGCAUUUGAUAAUCACAGGGACUCAUGAAGGGACAUGAGGGGCUGAUGAGCCCCAUUCCCAGAAAUCCCUGGGGAUCUUGGUGUCUUGUGCCUGCAUUUCUAGAGUCUACACUGUUUGCUCCUGGCAACAGGGUCUACAACUUAGCUGAGAUGUUCAGAGAGGUCCCGGCUCCUGCUGGACGCCUCAGGUGGGGUUCAAGGGCCUGUAUUUAGGGCAGACCUCCUUAGCGUCAGCA